GCAUAGGGAGGUUCCCAGGCUAGGGGUCCAGUUGGAGCUGUAGCUGCUGGCCUACACCAGAGCCACAGCAAUGCGAGAUCCAAGCCAUGUCUGUGACCCACACCACAGCUCACGGCAAUGCCAGAUCCUUAACUCACUGAGCGAAGCCAGGGAUUGAACCCACGUCCUCAUGGUUCCUAUUAUUUUGACGAAACGAGCAAGUGUCCAGAAAGUGUUGAACCUGGAGUUGAAGGAGAGUCAUUAUGAGUUCAAGGUACCUUAACCACACUGAACUCAGUGUCCUCACCCACAUUACUCGAGAGCUGUUCUGGAAAUGAAAUGAGAGCACAGACAUGCGAGUGCUUUGGCACUUACGGUGCAGUAUCCCCAGGGAAGUCAACGUUGCUUACACUGAAGCACGCCGGGGACUCACCCGCAUCUAUUUCAUUCCUCCCUUACUGUGGGAUAGCCAUCCAGGCUGGAGAGGACUUAUCCAUCUCCAGCCUCAGAGGGUCACUCUAACUGGCACAAGUCACUUUACACUUGACAUUUCUCUGGUCACCUGGAUUGAUUCAAGGGUGAGCAUAUAAUAAUUUGGCCUCAUCAUCUGAUGAAAUACUUUGGUUGGAUGGUUGGAAGAACAGUACUGGCUAGCUCUCUGUCUCUCCCUCUCUCCCCCCCACCCUUUCCCAUUCUCCCUUUCUUCUUAUUCACAGUACCAUUGGCUGCUAUUUUAUGACUCAGGAAGAAUCAUCUUAGGAUAAAAGAGAUACCAUGGGAGACAGAAAAAUAAAGAGAAUGAAAAUAAGGCUAACCCUCUUGAGUCAUUUUCCAAAAUCUUUAUAAAAUUUCUGCCUUGAAUACCAUACUAUGUAUGCUUAAUAUAAAACAAUAACAUUUUUAGUCCACCACUCAAAAAAUGUCUCUUUCAGAAAAGAAAAUGAUAUCAUUAGCACUCUAACAAGUCUUUCAUAUUUCAGAAUGUUUUUUUAAAUACUUAAUUUUGAAAAAAGUACUCUUUGAAUAAAUCAUUUUAGCCUAAGAAUCAAUCAUUGCUAUCUUGGAGUGUACAAAAAUAUUACUUGACAGAAUCUAUUAAAAAAUAACAUGAAUUCAGAAAUUGUUCCUUGGAUGUGUAACUUUAUAAUUGAAAGUGUUGACUGUAAUUUUAAGAAAGAUAUGUGUAUCACAUUUUGAGGAUGCAUACAAUAAGUUACGUGACUAUGGUAUGUAAGUAUAAACAAUAUACACCUGUUACAGUAUAAUAUACACAUUACAUUCCAUACACUAUAUUUAAUUAUUAUAAUAUGUAUACAUUAAGGUGCAUAUAAGAUGAAUAAGAAAAAAUAGCCAUCAAAACCAAACGAUUAAGUACUCACCGCUUAGAAUAACAUUUCCAUGAUAUCGCAGACACAGAUGCCAAAAGUACUAUGUCCCGAACAUUAAAAUAUAGUGUAAACAGUAGUGAAAAUCAUUUACUCUGGAAAGUUUUUAGAAAACUCAAAAUUUGGUUCUAGAAAGGGCAAAGAAGAUGUAGAUUCAGAGUUUAAAUCAGAUACUUCCACAAAAAAUGAGACUGGAGAAAAUCAUUAUUCCAAAUUAGUGUACUGCUUUCAGAAUACACUAUUUAAAAUUCACAAGGAAUUAUGUUAAUUAAUAAAUUUAUAAUUUGCGCACAUAAUCGUUCUUAUGUUCCCAUUCAGACAGCCAUUUCCAGGCCCCCUUUGGCUGCCCGGCAUGUCCAGUGUAGCGGAACACUGCAGGGCAGCACAGGGGACUUAGAAACAGUCCGUUCUCCAGUUUCUCUGUGACUCAGGCACCUUUUUCAAUUCUAGAUACACUUUUAAUGAACUGUUCUUUUUUUAACUGGAUUUUAUUUUGGUAAAAUGUACAUAACAAAAUUUGCUGUUUUAACCACUUUAAGUGUUCAGUUAGAGGCAUCAAGUCUCUCCACAGUGUUCUUCAUCGUCACUACCCAUCUGUAGAACUAUUUCAUCUUUCGAAACUGUGCUCACUAAACACUACCUCCCCUUCUUCCAAGCCCCUGGCAGCCACUGGUCCUCUACUUUCCAUCUCUAUGGAUUAGACCACUCUAGGCACCUCAUGUAAGUGGAAUCAUACAGUAUUUGUCCUUUUAUGAUGGUUUCAAGGUUUAUCCACGUUGUAGCAUGAGUAAGAAUUGCCUUAUUGAGGCUGAAUAAUAUUCCAUUUAUGUGUAUAUCACCUUUGUUCAUCUGUUAAUCUGUCGUUGGAUAUGUGGGUUGCUUCCACCUUUUGGUUCUUGUGAAUUAUGCCGCAAUGUAGGUGAAUAUAUAAAUAUCUGUUGAGUCUUUUCAAGUAUUUUUGGUGUAUACCCAGGAGUGAAAUUACUGGAUCAUUUGGUAAUUUGAUGUUUAUUUUUUGAGAGACUGCCAUUCUUCUUUCCACAGUGGCUGCACCACUAGCUAUAUAAGUCUUCCAAUAUCUCCACACCAUCGCCAACAUUCAUUAUUUCCUGUUCUUUUGCAUUCCUUAAUUCCUACAACUUCUGUUCUAUAAGUAGAGUCAAUCAUAGUAUCUACUUUGUAAAUAAGUAUAAAAUUGGAUGACAUAAUGCAAGAUAAAUGCUUGGCCUCGCCUGAAACGUCUUAGAUUCAAACUACUUAUUGAACAGUUG
rnacentral:lncRNA from 1 species